rnacentral:snoRNA from 1 species
AACCCAUGGUAAGGACACCUUCGCAGUAGGUCCUUGUAUCUCUCUCAUGCAUCAUAGAGUGUUUCUAAAUCCAUCUGCACAAAAGAAGAAAUAUCAUUCCCCAGUUU